AAAAAGGGAAUGAAGUUCUCCCUAAGUAUAAUAAUACUUAAACCGCUUAUUAAGCUGAUGACUUCUGCGAUU
rnacentral:ncRNA from 1 species